CCUGAACUUGCCAGCUGGGAAUGGAUCUACCAUUCCCAGCUGGGUGACCUUGAGAAGCCACUUCUCAGUUUCCUCACCAUCAAAGGAGAAACUGUACCUGUGUGUAAGCUCCUGAGGAACUGGGCAGGAGAAAGAGCUGCGUGUCUCCUCAAGACCACUAGAUGGCACCAGCGGGUCAGCACUCUCCCUGCAGGCUGACCUCGGGAGGAAUUCCACCUCUGGGAUCAGCCCUUAAGGCAGGAAGCCACCUACCUCCUUCCGCUGGCAGGAGCCCCUGAGAAUCUGCUGGCUGGCAGAGACAGAAGGAGGAGAAUGAGGGCCAAAAAACUUGAGUCCUUGCCCCGAGUCACACAGCAAUGAAGUCACAGGGACUGGAGUCUGAAGCUGAGCUCCUCAACAGACAUGGGGGGCGGAUGCAGAAAGCUGAAUAAUGGUCCUCAGAAGAUAUACACAUCCUAACCCCCCAAAUACCUGUGAACGUCAUCUUAGAUGGCAAAGGGGACCUUGCAGAUGUGUUUAAGUGAAGGAUCUUGAGAUAGAUCCUCCAUCCUGGAUUAUCCGGGUGGGCCUGAUGUAAUCCCAAGGAUCCUUCUAAGAGGAAACAGGAGUGUCAGAGUGGGAAGAAAGAGCUGAGACAUUGGGAGCAGAGGAGGAAAGAGCAUUGGAUGUGAGGAUGAAGGCCGCAUCCAUUCUGGAAAAGUCAGGGAGAACCAGCUCUGCUCAGACUUUUAACCCAAUGAGGCUGAUUUUGGACUUCUGACCUCCAGCACUGUAAAGUAAUAAACAUCCGUCGCUUUAAGCUACCAGGUUC